GUAGGGGGGCAAGCGUUGUUCGGGAUUUACUGGGGCGUAAAGGGGUGCGUAGGCGGCGCAACAAGUCACUUGUGAAAUCUCCGGGGCUUAACUCGGGAACGGGCCAAGUGAUACUGUUGUGCUAGAGUGCAGAAUGGGCAAGUGGAAUUCUUGGUGUAGCGGUGAAAUGCGUAGAUAUCAAGAGGAACACCUGAGGCGAAGGCGACUUGCUGGGCUGACACUGACGCUGAGGCACGAAAGCCAGGGGAGCGAACGGGAUUAGAUACCCCGGUAGUCCUGGCCCUAAACGAUGAAUGCUUGGUGUCUGGAGUUUUAAUUCUCUGGGUGCCGUCGUUAACGCUUUUAGCAUUCCGCCUGGGGAGUACGCUCGCAAAGAGUG
rnacentral:rRNA from 1 species